AACGUGAGGGGCGAACGUUGUCCGGAAUCACUGGGCGUAAAGGGUACGCAGGCGGUGGAGAAAGUCGGGUGUGAAAGCCUCAGGCUUAAACUGAGGGGGACGCUCGAUACUUCUACACUUGAGGAAGGGAGAGGGAGGUGGAAUUCCCGGUGUAGCGGUGAAAUGUGCAGAUAUCGGGAGGAACACCAGUGGCGAAGGCGGCCUCCUAUCCCUUUCCUGACGCUCAGGUACGAAAGCUAGGGGAGCGAACCGG
rnacentral:rRNA from 1 species